UUUUUCAGGACCAAAGCGGGGCCGGAGCGCUACUUGCUUAACUCUGGUUUAAGGGCAGAUCAGGGCCAUAAGAAUAGGUCAGUGGGGGAAAUCUUCUCUUCGCUCAGCAUCUGAACCUCUUUUAAGGAUAUCCCAAGGGAUGAUGGUUAGGUUUGCGUGUGACCACAUAAGCAUCAACAACAUGACUCUCAUUGCCGCCUCUGCUGUUUCCCCAUAAACUGAAGAAAUGCUUA